UUUUUCGGAUCGCGCUAUCUGCAGUAGAAGCUGAUGUUUGGUGUUUACACUAGACUGAUGAGUUGCGAACGGGUGAGUAACGCGUAGGUAACCUGCCUCAUAGCGGGGGAUAACUAUUGGAAACGAUAGCUAAUACCGCAUAAGAGUAAUUAACACAUGUUAGUUAUUUAAAAGGAGCAAUUGCUUCACUGUGAGAUGGACCUGCGUUGUAUUAGCUAGUUGGUGAGGUAAAGGCUCACCAAGGCGACGAUACAUAGCCGACCUGAGAGGGUGAUCGGCCACACUGGGACUGAGACACGGCCCAGACUCCUACGGGAGGCAACAGUAGGGAAUCUUCGGCAAUGGACGGAAGUCUGACCGAGCAACGCCGCGUGAGUGAAGAAGGUUUUCGGAUCGUAAAGCUCUGUUGUUAGAGAAGAACGUUGGUAGGAGUGGAAAAUCUACCAAGUGACGGUAACUAACCAGAAAGGGACGGCUAACUACGUGCCAGCAGCCGCGGUAAUACGUAGGUCCCGAGCGUUGUCCGGAUUUAUUGGGCGUAAAGCGAGCGCAGGCGGUUCUUUAAGUCUGAAGUUAAAGGCAGUGGCUUAACCAUUGUACGCUUUGGAAACUGGAGGACUUGAGUGCAGAAGGGGAGAGUGGAAUUCCAUGUGUAGCGGUGAAAUGCGUAGAUAUAUGGAGGAACACCGGUGGCGAAAGCGGCUCUCUGGUCUGUAACUGACGCUGAGGCUCGAAAGCGUGGGGAGCNAACAGGAUUAGAUACCCUGGUAGUCCACGCCGUAAACGAUGAGUGCUAGGUGUUAGGCCCUUUCCGGGGCUUAGUGCCGCAGCUAACGCAUUAAGCACUCG
rnacentral:rRNA from 1 species